rnacentral:rRNA from 1 species
UUCCUUGCGGGGGGCAGCAGUGAGGAAUAUUGGUCAAUGGGCGGGAGCCUGAACCAGCCAAGUCGCGUGAGGGAAGACGGUCCUAUGGAUUGUAAACCUCUUUAGGCGGGGAGCAAUGCCGGGCACGUGUGCCCGGAGGGAGAGUACCCGCAGAAUAAGCAUCGGCUAACUCCGUGCCAGCAGCCGCGGUAAUACGGAGGAUGCGAGCGUUAUCCGGAUUUAUUGGGGUUAAAGGGUGCGUAGGCGGAUUUUUAAGUCAGCGGUAAAAUGUCCGGGCUCAACACGGUCCGGCCGUUGAAAUUGGG